rnacentral:misc_RNA from 1 species
GAUGAAGAACGUAGCGAAAUGCGAUAAGUAAUGUGAAUUGCAGAAUUCAGUGAAUCAUCGAAUCUUUGAACGCACAUUGCGCCCGCCAGUAUUCUGGCGGGCAUGCCUGUUCGAGCGUCAUUUCAACCAUCAAGCCCCGGGCUUGUGUUGGGGACCUGCGGCUGCCGCAGGCCCUGAAAUGCAGUGGCGGGCUCGCUGUCACUCCGAGCGUAGUAGUUACAUCUCGCUCUGGGCGUGCUGCGGGUUCCGGCCGUUAAAAGCCUUAUUUACCCAAGGUUGACCUCGGAUCAGGUAGGAAGACCCGCUGAACUUAAGCAUAUCAAUAAGCGGAGG